AGGAGGAGCUUGCUUCUCUGGAUGAGUUGCGAACGGGUGAGUAACGCGUAGGUAACCUGCCUGGUAGCGGGGGAUAACUAUUGGAAACGAUAGCUAAUACCGCAUAAGAGUAGAUGUUGCAUGACAUUUGCUUAAAAGGUGCAAUUGCAUCACUACCAGAUGGACCUGCGUUGUAUUAGCUAGUUGGUGGGGUAACGGCUCACCAAGGCGACGAUACAUAGCCGACCUGAGAGGGUGAUCGGCCACACUGGGACUGAGACACGGCCCAGACUCCUACGGGAGGCAGCAGUAGGGAAUCUUCGGCAAUGGACGGAAGUCUGACCGAGCAACGCCGCGUGAGUGAAGAAGGUUUUCGGAUCGUAAAGCUCUGUUGUAAGAGAAGAACGAGUGUGAGAGUGGAAAGUUCACACUGUGACGGUAUCUUACCAGAAAGGGACGGCUAACUACGUGCCAGCAGCCGCGGUAAUACGUAGGUCCCGAGCGUUGUCCGGAUUUAUUGGGCGUAAAGCGAGCGCAGGCGGUUAGAUAAGUCUGAAGUUAAAGGCUGUGGCUUAACCAUAGUACGCUUUGGAAACUGUUUAACUUGAGUGCAAGAGGGGAGAGUGGAAUUCCAUGUGUAGCGGUGAAAUGCGUAGAUAUAUGGAGGAACACCGGUGGCGAAAGCGGCUCUCUGGCUUGU
rnacentral:rRNA from 1 species